GUCUUUUUGAGUUAUUUUAAAAGUCUGACCUGCCCACUGAAUAUUUUUAAAUGGCCGCAGUAUUCUAACUGUGCAAAGGUAGCAUAAUCAUUAGUCUUUUAAUUGAAGGCUGGUAUGAACGGUUGGACGAAGUAUAAGCUGUUUCAUAUAAAAUUAUAUUAGAAUUUUAUAUUUUAGUUAAAAAGCUAAAAUAUUAUUAAAAGACGAGAAGACCCUAUAAAUCUUUAUAUUUAAUAUUAUUCAAAUUUUUUUGAUUAAUUUUAUUUUUAUUAUAUUAAAUAUUUUGUUGGGGUGAUAUUAAAAUUUAAUAAACUUUUAAUUGAGAAUUAAAACAUUAAUUUAUGAAUAAUUGAUCCAUUAUUAAUGAUUAUAAGAUUAAGUUACUUUAGGGAUAACAGCGUAAUUUUUUUUGAGAGUUCAUAUCGACAAAAAAGUUUGCGACCUCGAUGUUGGAUUAAGAUAUAUAUUUAGGUGUAGCUGUUUAAAUAUUAAGUCUGUUCGACUUUUAAAUUCUUACAU
rnacentral:rRNA from 1 species